rnacentral:misc_RNA from 1 species
GUGAAUCAUCGAAUCUUUGAACGCACAUUGCGCCCCUUGGCAUUCCGAGGGGCAUGCCCGUUCGAGCGUCAUUAUAACCCCUCAAGCCUAGCUUGGUGUUGGGGCCUGCUGUUACCGGCAGCCCUUAAAAUCAGUGGCGGUGCUAUCUGGCUCUAAGCGUAGUAAUACUUCUCGCUACAGGGUCCCGGUGGAUGCUUGCCAUUAACCCCUAAUUUUCUAUGGUUGACCUCGGAUCGGGUAGGGAUACCCGCUGAACUUAAGCAUAUCAAUAAGCGGAGGA